CAGCAGGACUCGGGGAUGCUCCUAUGUCAGCUCUGCACGGCCACAGCACAAGGCACUGAGACGUACAUCACCACCACCCCAUGCCUCCUCCAUUGCUGAAAUAACCUCACCCGGUUAAUUUGAGAUAUACACAUAAUGGCCUCAAGAGCAUCCUAGAAGGUCUUAAAUAUCGCCUGAGGAACUGAUUACCUAAAAGGGAAGAUCAUUUCUGGCUGCUUUGAGAGCAGAAGGACCAGAAACAAAGAGAAUUUCAGGAAAAGGGCCACUCUAAGAACUCGGCAGCUUUGAGAAUAGCAACUGUUACCUCUGGAUGGGCAGUACUUAAGUCAGAUCUUCUUAUUCAGUACUGCCACCAGUCACACCUGACUACCAAAAUGUUCUCUACCUACCCUCCCCAUCUCUGCCAAUAUGAUGCUUUUAAGUUAUCUCUUUCAAGGCUAGAAAUGAAUUGCCAGCUAAGAGAAAAUCUGUUAGGUAUAACAAAUAACAUGAUUUAAGUACAGUACACGCUGAGGAUGCAGUUAUAAAAGAGAAGUUAUGCCAGAUCUUCAGCUUUUAUUAAUCAUAUCAACUCCAAUGAAACAGAGAGAGUAAUUCCAGGUUGCAUCUUCGGAGGAUCGCGCUCCUAUAUGUGCCAUCACCACUGUUGAACACGGAACAUUUCUUUGGUGCAUGAGUAACUGAAAGCUCUGGAAACAGGAGUAUAUUUGGUUUCAAGAUCCACAGGCCUUCAAGGGACUUGCUGAGGAAGGCAGAUUCUGCAGCACACUGAAUAUAUUCAGUGCUGACAGACUCAAGGGAAUACUCACUCAGAAAUCUUGCAAGAUUUCAUCUAUUUGAGUGGACAGAAGUAAGAUUUUUUCCAACUUGCACUGGAAAAUAGGCCUACCCUGCCUGGAAAUUUUCCAUAAACGUAGAGUAAAAAAGAGUGAUUUUUAAAACAAUACUUUACAAUCAGUUCAAACAAUCAGUUAAAAUUCUUUCUCUACAUCUCUCCUGGUUUUCCCGUUGUACCACAUGCUAGUCAGCUCAGAAAUUAAAGCCACUUCUUCCCCACACAUACACAAUUCUUUUGGUCAAAUUCCUUAUGAUGUCAUCAUUACUCUUCUUUAUGCAGCCUGAAGAAUAAUAUCUCAUUUGUCUCAAAUUAAAUUUGGUAGUUUGGCAAACAGUUACAAGGAUAUUAGAUACAACAACAGUAUUUUGUUUUCUCUUCCCAAGCCAAACUCAUAGCACAG
ensembl:lncRNA